GGUUGUAAGGGUGACACACCUGAUGCCACAAUGAUUACCAGGGUUGAUUUGGUUGGCCAGGCAGGUGUCCUCUGCUUCCCUUACCACUCAAUCUGUAUCUUUCCCCAAGCUAUGCACUUGAUUGAAGACUAUUACUUCCCUAACAGAGGAGGAUGGGUCUUCAGUCAAGGAUGUGCCAAUAACUGCACUAGCACUCACUUGCUAGAACCUUCAAGAUCUCAAGAUACGAAGCCCUCACUUCUGAACACUAUUUGGGGCACCAGGCCUUUGUGGGGUACACUGGAGAUCUAAAUCAUAAUAAAUUAUGUCAAAUGCUCUGAUAUAAUUU
rnacentral:snRNA from 1 species